AGUGGGGGAAACAUUGGCAAUUUAGCACCCAUAUAAAUGUAGAAUGUGGGGCCAUGUCUGUAAUAUAUAUGCAAAUGUCAAAAGGCUAAAAGGGGUCUCUAAGACAAAGCCCCAAUGAUCAUUCAUGAUUUUAAGCAGAUGCUACACUUGUGAUCAAAUUAAUAAAAUAUGUUUGCACAAUUUACAUACAAACGUGAGUAAGUCUUGGGAAAACUACUAAAGAAGGGGAAAAAAUAUAAUGAAGAAGACUUAGUAAGCAGUGCUGGUGAUAAUGAAAAGGAUUCAAACCCCCCCAGCUCUGUAUAUUUUGCAUGUCUCUCUUUGUUAACACACCUGAUUCAGAUAAUCAGCUUGUUAGAGGUGAGCUCCGUGUGUGAACUGUGUUCCCAUUGACAUGCUCCCUACUCCCUGAGCAGGAGAAGUCUGUUGAAGUUUACCUCACUUUGUAACAUUCAUUCACGGAUUUGCGCUGUGCAACGUCUUCACACACGGACAAGUGUGACAUCAUAUACUUCUGUAAAUAAAUACAGUUGAAUUUCAUACAUUAUACUAUAAUACAGCAAAACCUGGAAUUUUUUUUUCAUCAAGGGAGUCAAGUUCUCAAAGUGCUUUAAUUGAAGCUGCUACAAGAGAUUUUCCUCAUUUUUAUUCAUUCAUCUGUACUUUUACUCUCACUUUGAAAUAAACGUGAGAUUCUUUUAAAGGAAAAUCAGCAUCUCUGCCGUGUUAGAGGAUAGCCGGUUCCUCUUUUUAUCCAUGACAUUUGAAGACUGCACUAAUCAGUUUCUCACUGUCCACACUUGUGCAGGGGGCACAGAGAAACUUAGUUGCAAUAACAGCCAAUGAGGGAAAUUGUGAAGCAUGUGCCAUCCAGCAGUGUUGUUAAAAGUACAGACUUUGGUACCAGCCGGCUCAUGGCAGACGCACCCAAGAGAUGAUUCUCCUUGUGAUUUGCUGAAUGUUAGUUCACUCAAAUCUAAGUAACAAAUCAGAGAACAUGGGCUGAAAUAUUGGC
rnacentral:lncRNA from 1 species